GACAGAGGAGGCGAGCGUUAUCCGGAGUUAUUGGGCGUAAAGGGUACGUCGGCGACUGGUCAAGUCUGGGGUUAAAGACCACAGCUUAACUGUGGGGGGGCCUUGGAAACUGACCGGCUGGAGUGGGGCAGGGGUUGCGGGAAUUCCCGGUGUAGCGGUGAAAUGCGUAGAUAUCGGUAAGAACACCUGAGGCGAAAGCGCGCAACUGGGCCCUAACUGACGCUGAGGUACGAAAGCUAGGGGAGCGAAGGGG
rnacentral:rRNA from 1 species